rnacentral:rRNA from 1 species
GAUGAACGCUGGCGGCGUGCUUAACACAUGCAAGUCGAACGGAAAGGCCACAGCUUGCUGUGUUCCUCGAGUGGCGAACGGGUGAGUAACACGUGGUUGAUCUGCCCUGUACUUCGGGAUAAGCUUGGGAAACUGGGUCUAAUACCGGAUAGGAAUCACAUGUGGGUGUGUGGUUGGAAAGCUUUUGCGGUAUGGGAUGAGCUCGCGGCCUAUCAGCUUGUUGGUGGGGUAAUGGCCUACCAAGGCGUCGACGGGUAGCCGGCCUGAGAGGGUGUACGGCCACAUUGGGACUGAGAUACGGCCCAGACUCCUACGGGAGGCAGCAGUGGGGAAUAUUGCACAAUGGGCGCAAGCCUGAUGCAGCGACGCCGCGUGGGGGAUGACGGCCUUCGGGUUGUAAACUCCUUUCGUCAGGGACGAAGCGAAAGUGACGGUACCUGGAUAAGAAGCACCGGAUAACUACGUG